UCCGAGUUGACCCCGGCAGUCUCCUAUGAGUCCCCGGCAUUACCCGCUGGCAACAUAGGACGAGGGUUGCGCUCGUUGCGGGACUUAACCCAACAUCUCACGACACGAGCUGACGACAGCCAUGCAGCACCUGUGUUACGGCUCUCUUUCGAGCACACCCUCAUUUCUGAAGGCUUCCGUACAUGUCAAGGGUAGGUAAGGUUUUUCGCGUUGCAUCGAAUUAAUCCACAUCAUCCACCGCUUGUGCGGGUCCCCGUCAAUUCCUUUGAGUUUUAAUCUUGCGACCGUACUCCCCAGGCGGUCAACUUCACGCGUUAGCUGCGGUACUAGGAAAUCGCUUCCCCAACACCUAGUUGACAUCGUUUAGGGCGUGGACUAC
rnacentral:misc_RNA from 1 species